rnacentral:rRNA from 1 species
UACGAAGGGGGCUAGCGUUGCUCGGAAUUACUGGGCGUAAAGGGAGCGUAGGCGGACAGUUAAGUCAGUGGUGAAAGCCCAGGGCUCAACCCUGGAAUUGCCUUUGAUACUGAUUGUCUUGAGUAUGGGAGAGGUAUGCGGAACUCCGAGUGUAGAGGUGAAAUUCGUAGAUAUUACGGAAGAACACCAGUGGCGAAGGCGGCAUACUGGCCCAUUACUGACGCUGAGGCUCGAAAGCGUGGGGAGCAACAGG